UAUCUUCAGGGCAGGGUGAAAGUCCCUACCGGUGGUAAAAGUCCACGACCUCUUUUGAGCUGAUUUGGUGAAAUUCCAAAACCGACGGUUAAAGUCCGGAUGAAAGAAGACG
rnacentral:ncRNA from 1 species